rnacentral:lncRNA from 1 species
GUUGGGGCCCAGGCGCGUGUCCAGCUUGGAGAUGAACUCCUGCGACGUCUGGGGACACAAGGGUGGGGUUGGAGAUCACCCAAGGUUGACCCAAUGCUUGGGUUGGAGACCACCCAAGGUUUGGGUUGGAGAUCACCCAAGGGUUGGGUUGGAGAACAUUCAAUGUUCACUCAUGGUUUGGGUUGGAGACCACCCAAGCUUUGCCCUGGAGACCACCCAAGGUUGACCCAAUGGUUUGGAUUGGAGACCACCCCAGGGUUGGGUUGGAGAUCACCCAAUCUUUGUCCUGGAGACCACCCGAGCUUUGUGCUGACCAUGUUGGAGAUGCUGCGCGUGUUCUCGGGGUUGAGCAUGACGAUCUCGGUGGUGAUGUGUCCUUCCACCGCCUCGGCCAUCUGGUCGGCCGUGCAGUUGAUGGACGGGUCGGGCGUGCGGAACCAUUUGUUGGCGUACCAGCCGAUGAGGAACCACACGUACUUCUUGCCGUAGAGCUUCUCCUUGUACACCUGCGUGGUCAUCAUCAUCGUCAUCAUCACCAUCAUCAUCAUCGUCAUCAUCAUCAUCCAUCCACGAUCCAUCA